GUGCCCUUUUAAGGCGGACACAGGAGGGUAAAGAAAGUCUCCAUAAAACCCAGAGAAGAGAUUUUAGAACUCUUCUCUGGAUCCUAUCUGGAGUCACAACU
rnacentral:snoRNA from 1 species